rnacentral:misc_RNA from 1 species
CAUACAUCGAGAACAGGACAGCCUGCCCGCAGGAGCGUCUACACUUUCUGUCCAGAUACACAAGAGGAGAAGCCAGAUCGAUGAUUGAAAGCCUGCUGCACCUGAAUACUACAGAUGCAUACGACAAUGCCAAGAAGAAACUCCAUGAUAGGUACGGCAACACCUUCAUAACUGCCAAUGCCUUCCGCAAGCGCAUCCAUGAGUGGCCCGCAGUUCGACCCGGCGACGGGAAAGCAUUGAGACAACUGGCUGACUACCUCGAGAGCUGUAAGACAGCAUCAAGACAUGUGAGUGGACUGGCCUCACUGGACUCAGUGGAUGAGAACAACGUGAUUCUCAAAAAACUGCCACGAUACAUCGUCGACAGGUGGAGACGCGUGGUUGACGUCAGGUUGUACGAGCCACAAGAAGGUUGUUCUCCCGGCUAUCCGUCGUUUGCAGAGUUCGCGGACUUCCUCAGCAAGGAAGCAAGAGUGGCGUGCGGCCCGGUAUUGGACAGGUCCGACGAAGCUGGUGGAACAAAACGAACGACCAAUGCUGGCCAACGCAGGAAGGAGAACGCGCGCACGUUCUUCUCGUCCGUUUCGUCCGAUGGGAGGACAUCAGCACCACGUCAAGAGUCAGAUAAUGCACGACAGACAGACAGAACUGCCAGACUCUGCAGGAUCUGUUCGUCACUGCAUCCUGUAGAAUCCUGCCAGACAUUCAAGAACAUGUCAGUGUCCGAGCGACAUGACGCUGUAACACGACUUGGGCUGUGCAGAGGGUGUUUGUGCAGAGGGCACAUCUGGAGAGACUGCCGAAGUCGGCGAAGCUGUGACAGAUGUGGACGCUCUCAUCCGACGUUGCUUCAUGACGACGCAAGGGCAGGAACGCGAGGCGCGUCGACAGGACAAAGGAUGGCAGCAGCAGUAGGUGACAACAGAAGACAAUACAAGUCACACACGAACAGAUGUACUCAGACCCAAGCUACGUCCCUGAAGGUUGCGGUUGAAGGUGAAGGAGCUGAACGCAACGCCUCGUUCGUGCCACCAUGCUCUCACACCAUGAUCGUGCCGGUCAUUCUGCGCAACGAGCUGGAACCGUCACAACAGCUGACAGUCUAUGCUGUGCUAGAUCCUCAAUCGGAUGCCUGUUUCAUUCAAGAAUCAACGCUCAGACAGGUCUCUGGACAAGGAGAAGACGUGACUCUUCAGCUCAGCACCAUAGCGGGCAAGACCAGAGUUGUGACCAAGAGAGUGACAAACCUGUCAGUUCAGGGACUGAAUGCACCGGACCGUAUCAUGCUACCUGCGACGUAUUCUCGUGAUGAGAUACCGGCAGAAAGGUGGCUGAUACCGAAGCGAGAAACAGCUCGAAACUGGAGGCAUCUGGCUCAUCUGGAGGAAGAACUGCCCCCAUACUUCCCUGAAGCUGAAAUUGGCCUGCUCAUGGGUGUGAACUGCGCACGCGCAUUGAAGCCGAAAGAGGUGGUUUCAGUUGACAGUGACGAUCCCUGGGCAAUGAGAACGGAGCUGGGGUGGACCAUCGUGGGUAUUACGCACGGGCCCAACAUCACUUCGACGUGUCACUGUGCGCGCGUAGGGCCAGAUGAAGUGUCUGUAUGCCACUUUGCGUUCAAGACGCGUGUGCAGGAAGUGAGCCCGAUGCAAGUGGCACGCAUGCUGGAAGCGGACUUUCUGGAUGAAGGCGCUCACAAGAAGGUCUCUCAGGACGACCGGAAGUUCCAGAAGGUGAUGAAGGAACAGUUCCACCAGCGGGAGGAUGGUCAUGUUGAGGGACCACUGCCUCUGAAGGAUCCAGAAGUGACAUUUCCAGACAACAGGUACCUGGCCAUAAAACGUCUACACAGUCUGAAGAGGAGGUUUGCCCGAGAUCCUGGUCUGAAGGACGCCUACGAGAACUCCAUGAACGAGUCGCUCGCAGCAGGAUACACUGAAUGUGUCCCAGACGACGACGACGUCAAAGAGGGAAAGACCUGGUACGUUCCCCAUCACGCUGUCGUUCAUCCGAGAAAGGACAAGAUACGUGUAGUUUAUGACUGCAGCGCGGAAUAUCAAGGUGCUUCAUUGAACAACGAGCUGCUCCAGGGCCCGGACUACGUGAACAGUCUGGCAGGAAUCCUGGUGAGAUUUCGGAAAGAAAGAGUGGCUCUGAGCUGCGACAUCAAGGCGAUGUUUAACCAGGUUGGUGUCAGCAAGGAGCACAGGAAUCUGUUGAGAUUUCUGUGGUGGGAACAAGGCGACACGAGUCGAGAGCCGGCUGAGUUCAGGGUCACCACUCAUCUGUUUGGUGCGGUGUCAUCGCCUGCGUGCGCGAUGUACGCGCUGAACAUGAUAGCAGAAAAGUAUGAACCGACACACGGAAGAGAAGCGUCCGAAUUUGUACGUAGAAACUUCUACGUUGAUGACGGCGUCACAAGCGUGGAAAGCUCGGAUGCUGCUAUACGGCUGGCCCGUGACACUGUCCAGCUGUGUGCAGAAGGUGGUUUCACGCUUCACAAGUUUGUGUCGAACGAACCGUCGGUGCUAAAAGCACUGUCGCCUGGUGCCACUGGGUGCGACCCAUCGGUGGAAGUUGGUCGCCAGCACUCAGGUCAGUUCGAGCAGGCCCUGGGUAUCAAGUGGGAUACGGUGGAAGACACGCUGAGCUUUCACGCUGUGAUUCCGGACAAGCCGAUGACCAGAAGAGGGAUUUUAUCAUCAGUUUCUUCGCUGUAUGAUCCACUGGGUCUUGUCUCCCCAGUGAUCUUGGAGGGAAAGAGAAUCAUCAAGCAGUUGUGCUGCGACGGAUACAGCUGGGAUGAAGCUGUCCCAGAAGAGACGGUGGCCCGUUGGUUGGAUUGGAAGAGAGACGUGCUCCUUCUCUCAGAGACACCGAUACCAAGAUGCUACAAACCUGGCGGCGGCAAGAUGAAGCUGUACGAACUGCAUCAUUUUUCUGACGCCAGUACCGUCGGAUACGGGCAGUGCUCCUAUCUCCGUAUGAAAGACGAACACGACCUGAUUGGGACGUGUCUUGUGAUGAGCAAGUCAAAGGUGACUCCCAGGCGAUCGACUACAAUUCCUCGACUGGAGCUGAUGGCGGCCGCUCUCUCCGUGAGAGUUGGAUGCUUUCUGCAAGAGGAGCUCGACAUCACAGGCAUCGAGCACUACUACUGGACAGACAGUCAGGUCGUUCUAGGAUAUAUACACAACGAAACCCGGCGAUUUCACGUGUUUGUCGCGAACCGCGUGCAGCAGAUCCGACAACACACCACUCCCGAUCAGUGGAGAUAUGUACAGUCAGAUGAAAACCCAGCAGAUCUGGCCUCCCGUGGACUGCAGGCAGCGGCCAUCAAGGACUGUGAUCUCUGGUGGCGUGGACCGAAGUUUCUUCAAGCAGGAGAACUUCCGAAUGAAGCAGCUCAGAUUGAACUCCAAGAUGACGACCCGGAGGUCAAGAAGAAAACAGUUCUGACUACGCGCUCCAAACAGGUCGAAGGUUUUCCAAACAUGUCUGACCGGCUAGUCGUGUUCUCUAGCUGGUUCAGGGCAAGACGAGCGAUCGCGAUCUGUAUCAGAUACGGGAAACGUCUGCUGGAGCGAGUGAGACAAAAACGUCAAAGCAGUGACGCUGAACUUGUUCCAUCGUUGACAGAAUCACCAGUUGGAGCAGAAGAGAUGAAGAGAGCUGAGCUCGUCAUACUGAAGAGUGUGCAGCAGCAGGUGUUUGGGGACGAAGUUGCGACUCUGACGAUACCUCAGCCCUCAACUGAAGCUCGAGUGAAGAAACGGAGUCAUCUGUACCGACUGGAUCCCUUCGUUGCAGAUGACGGACUCCUGCGCGUCGGAGGAAGGCUGAAGAGGAGUGGACAGCCCUUCGACGUGGUACAUCCAGUGAUCUUGCCAAAGGUUCAUCACGUGACUCGUCUUGUCGUUGCAGCCUACCACGAGAGGACGUGUCACUCAGGAAGGGAGCUGACGCUGAGCGAAAUCCGGAUGUCUGGAUACUGGAUUGUGAAAGGAAGAUCGGCUGUGGGCCGUCACAUCAAGAACUGCAUCAAGUGCAGGAGGCUGAGAGGAACGCCUUGCAGUCAGAAAAUGGCAGAUCUUCCCAGCGAGCGUGUAGACGAAGCGGAGCCAUUCACCCACUCAGGUGUUGACUGCUUCGGACCAUUCUUCGUCAGAGAACGGCGCAGUGAAGUCAAACGAUGGGGGAUCCUAUUCACAUGUCUAAGUUCACGGGCUAUUCAUCUAGAGACCCUCAACUCAAUGACGGCGGAUGCUUUUAUCAAUGCCUACCGCCGAUUCACCUGCCGAAGAGGAAAGGUUCGAGCUCUGUAUCACGACCGAGGUACGAACUUCAUCGGAGGAAGAGGACAUCUAGAAGCUGCUUUGUCUGAGAUGGACCACGACAACAUCCGGCGCACUCUGUUAAAGGACAACUGUGAUUGGGUACAGUUCAACCCCAUCACACCCAAGGCCAGCCACAUGGGAGGUGCGUGGGAGCGGCAGAUACGCACCGUCCGCUCUGCGCUGAGCAGUCUCCUUCAAGAUCUCGGUCAGCAGCUGGAUGACGAGCUGCUCAGAACUCUACUGACGGAAGCGGAAGCAGUAGUCAAUAGUCGCCCUCUCUCUUGUGUCAGUAUGAAUGACACUAGUGUAGUUGAGCCGAUCACUCCCGACCAGCUGCUCACCUUAAAGUCAAAGGUAGUGCUCCCUCUCCCUGGGAAGUUCUGCCGGCCUGACAUCUACGGGAGACAGCGCUGGCGCCGGGUCCAGUACCUCGCCAAUCAGUUUUGGCAGCGCUGGCGGAGAGAGUUCCUUCCGUCUCUCCAGGAGCGACGAAAGUGGAAUCAUCCAGAGCCGAACGUCAGUCAGGACGACAUCGUCAUUGUCGUCGACGAGGACACUCCACGCAACAGGUGGCCGCUCGCACGAGUGGUCGACGCGCACACAGGUGCCGACGGUCUAGUGAGGAGUGUGCGUGUGCGCAUUGGCAACAGUGAAUAUGACAGACCCGUCCACAAACUGAUUCUCCUCGUGAAGAGCGGGGAUGGAGAUUCCGCGACGGGGAGCCGUUGUGCUGAGUAGCGUGAUUUGGUCGGAGCGCGACCGAUAAGACCGAGACGCUUGUGAGCGCUGAUACCCGGUCUGAACUUUGGUGCAUUGUGCUCCGCUGUGCGGAUGGCAGUGACCGCCCCAGACGAUUUGUCAUGAUAUGUGACGCAUGUUGAACGGCAUCAGAGCUGUCCUGAUCGGGGCGCAGUGAAGUACGGUUUGCUGAACAGUGAUUGCCACUUGGACCGAUACUGAAGCCGAAAUAUUAUUGCCGGCUAUACUGACGGUGCAGUUGGCUGUAUCACCUUACUGAGUCACUGACAUUUGUACUAAAGUCGCCUAUCGUCCCGGACGAAUUUUCUACGGUCAUCACGGUCCACACUGAUCGCUGCAAGGUGUCACUACUGAAUGAUCCCAAUACAUACUGACCGACUAA